rnacentral:rRNA from 1 species
UACAGAGGCCUCGAGCGUUAGGCGGAAUCACUGGGCUUAAAGCGUGUGUAGGCGGAUGCCUAAGUACCUUGUGAAAUCCCACGGCUCACCCGUGGAACGGCUGGGUAUACUGGGUGUCUUGAGCCACUUAGGGGCUACCGGAACAAAUGGUGGAGCGGUGAAAUGCGUAGAUAUCAUUUGGAACGCCAAUGGUGAAAACAGGUAGCUGGGAGUGUGCUGACGCUGAGACACGAAAGCCAGGGUAGCGAACGGG